AGGGUUUAAAUACGGAUCAGAGUUUUACCAUUUCACUUUUGAAUUAGCCUAAGAGGUGAGCGUACGACUCGCUCCGAAAAAAGAAAACGAGAAAAGAACUUGUUUUAUACAUCUACAUAGGAUCAAACACUCUCUCUAUCCCGUUGGCAUUUUGUUAUUGGCUGGUAAGACGUUACGUCGUUAUGUUAUCGUCGGUCAAAAUAUCACUCGCCCUAGUCUCUUUGUUGAUCCUUGUACAUGUAAACGAGGCUUUUCCGAUGAAGGAGUGGCUACCAAGAAGAUCUAUGGUGAAAGACGAGGACAGUGCUAUUGAACAGCGGUUUGAUGAAGACUCUUACAGCAGCCCGAUGAAAAUUUUAAAUGAAGACGACAAAGAAGAAGACAUGUUUGCUGACGAUGGAUCGGAAAGAAAUUUCCGAAAAAAGGAUUUCUCAAGGCAGUACCAAUGUCGAUUUGGUGGUUGUGGAAAAUGAAUGACAUCCAUCGGAAUAAAGAGAAACAUAUGGCAAGGAAACAAUAAACGAAUCAAAGGAAAAGACAAGGCAGCUAAAACUUAACAAAUUAACAGACCAUUUGAAACAAAAUGUAGGAUGUUACUUCAAAUCAGUAUCAUACAAAAGCAAAGCUUUUAAAAAGGUUUACUUGUUAUUCUGUUCUCCGCAGUUAAUGCUGUAAAAUGUCCCUUGUAUUUUACUAGUUUACUUCAAUCGAAUAUUAUUCUUUGUUUUCAAUCUAAUCCUAAUUAACGACAUUCGAAUGUUUUCAAAAGUUUAUUGCGCACUACUUGUUAAAGAGGUAUAAGCAGUAUCAAUAAAAACAGGACUUACGUAGAUCCCCACCGUAGAGGAGAUGUAAGGAGUAAAUAAAGAUCAUUUAUGGAUCAGUAGAA